rnacentral:rRNA from 1 species
UGGGGAAUAUUGCACAAUGGGCGCAAGCCUGAUGCAGCCAUGCCGCGUGUGUGAAGAAGGCCUUCGGGUUGUAAAGCACUUUCAGCGAGGAGGAAGGGUAGUGUGUUAAUAGCACAUUGCAUUGACGUUACUCGCAGAAGAAGCACCGGCUAACUCCGUGCCAGCAGCCGCGGUAAUACGGAGGGUGCAAGCGUUAAUCGGAAUUACUGGGCGUAAAGCGCACGCAGGCGGUUUGUUAAGUCAGAUGUGAAAUCCCCGCGCUUAACGUGGGAACUGCAUUUGAAACUGGCAAGCUAGAGUCUUGUAGAGGGGGGUAGAAUUCCAGGUGUAGCGGUGAAAUGCGUAGAGAUCUGGAGGAAUACCGGUGGCGAAGGCGGCCCCCUGGACAAAGACUGACGCUCAGGUGCGAAAGCGUGGGGAGCAAAACAGGAUUAGAUACCCUGGUAGUCCACGCUGUAAACGAUGUCGACUUGGAGGUUGUGCCCUUGAGGCGUGGCUUCCGGAGCUAACGCGUUAAGUCGACCGCCUGGGGGAGUACGGCCGCAAGGUUAAAAC